UCUGGUUAAACGAUGUAUAAAGGAGGAAAAAAUUGUAGAUAUUGCAUUACGAUGCUUUCUACCUAAUAGCACGUGGAUAUGUUUACAUAUUUAGACUUGACCCAGUAUGACCCGUACCUUGUAGGUCACCGCCGUCGUUUAAACACCAGACUACAGUCGUGUAUAAGACAAUAAAAUGCUUAAGCCUGUACUAUUUGUGUGAAGUAAAUGUGUUUUUUCUGUACAUUUAAAUUGUUUUACCUGAUAGCAAGGACGUAUAUCUAUCCGUUUCCUUCUCAAUUCACUUUGUCAUUUUCUUAGAGCUUCUUCAAAACAUACGUAUUACUGCGCCCGGAAGUGAAAAAAUAUUAGAAAUCCUCGUAAAAUAAUGCUAUUUUCAAUUUUGUGGAAUCCAUUUUGUUAUAUUUAUUAUAUAAAGAUAAAAAAGUAACGAUUAAUUAUGAAUUUGCAUAUCAUUAUACGGAACGUUUAUGGACUAUUUUUCCAUAGCUGUAAGUCGGUCAUUUUGGCGGGAAAUCAUGUACACAUACACACG
rnacentral:lncRNA from 1 species